rnacentral:rRNA from 1 species
UACGUAGGUCCCGAGCGUUGUCCGGAUUUAUUGGGCGUAAAGCGAGCGCAGGUGGUUUAUUAAGUCUGGUGUAAAAGGCAGUGGCUCAACCAUUGUAUGCAUUGGAAACUGGUAGACUUGAGUGCAGGAGAGGAGAGUGGAAUUCCAUGUGUAGCGGUGAAAUGCGUAGAUAUAUGGAGGAACACCGGUGGCGAAAGCGGCUCUCUGGCCUGUAAUUGACACUGAGGCUCGAAGGCGUGGGGAGCAAACAGG